rnacentral:rRNA from 1 species
AUUGAACGCUGGCGGCAGGCUUAACACAUGCCAGUCAAGCGGGGGAAGGUAGCUUGCUACUGGACCUAGCGGCGGACGGGUGAGUAGUGCUUAGGAUUCUGCCUAUUAGUGGGGGACAACAUCUCGAAAGGGAUGCUAAUACCGCAUACGUCCUACGGGAGAAAGCAGGGGAUCUUCGGACCUUGCGCUAAUAGAUGAGCCUAAGUCGGAUUGGCUAGUUGGUGGGGUAAAGGCCUACCAAGGCGACGAUCUGUAGCGGGUCUGAGAGGAUGAGCCGCCACACUGGGACGGCGACACGGCCCAGACUCCUACGGGAGGGAGCAGUGGGAAGAUUGGACAAUGGGGGGAACCCUGAUCCAGCCUUGCCGCGUGUGUGAAGGAGGCCUUAUGGUUGUAAAGCACUUUAAGCGAGGAGGAGGCUACUGAGACUAAUACUCUUGGAUAGUGGACGUUACUCGCGGAAUAAGCACCGGCUAACUCUGUGCCAGCAGCCGCGGUAA